GACGAACGCGGCGGCGUGCUUAACACAUGCAAGUCGAACGUGAUUUUUAAGGAAAGCCCUUCGGGGAAGGAAUUAAAAUGAAAGUGGCGAACGGGUGAGUAACACGUGAGCAACCUACCUUACACAGGGGGAUAGCCGUUGGAAACGACGAUUAAUACCGCAUGAGACCACAGAAUCGCAUGAUAUAGGGGUCAAAGAUUUAUCGGUGUAAGAAGGGCUCGCGUCUGAUUAGCUAGUUGGAAGGGUAAAGGCCUACCAAGGCGACGAUCAGUAGCCGGUCUGAGAGGAUGAACGGCCACAUUGGAACUGAGACACGGUCCAAACUCCUACGGGAGGCAGCAGUGGGGAAUAUUGCACAAUGGGGGGAAACCCCUGAUGCAGCGACGCCGCGUGAGCGAAGAAGGUUUUU
rnacentral:rRNA from 1 species